CCUUCGAUAGCUCAGUUGGUAGAGCGGUGGACUGUAGUGGGCAAGACGAAUACGGACAUCCAUAGGUCGCUGGUUCAAAUCCGGCUCGAAGGA
rnacentral:tRNA from 1 species